AGAGUUUGAUCAUGGCUCAGGAUGAACGCUGGCGGCGUGCCUAACACAUGCAAGUCGAGCGAUUUACUUCGGUAAAGAGCGGCGGACGGGUGAGUAACGCGUGGGUAACCUGCCCUAUACACACGGAUAACAUACCGAAAGGUAUGCUAAUACGAGAUAAUAUAAGAGAUUCACAUGGAUUUCUUAUCAAAGCUGAGGCGGUAUAGGAUGGACCCGCGUCUGAUUAGCUAGUUGGUAAGGUAACGGCUUACCAAGGCGACGAUCAGUAGCCGACCUGAGAGGGUGAUCGGCCACAUUGGAACUGAGACACGGUCCAAACUCCUACGGGAGGCAGCAGUGGGGAAUAUUGCACAAUGGGCGAAAGCCUGAUGCAGCAACGCCGCGUGAGUGAUGAAGGCCUUCGGGUCGUAAAACUCUGUCCUCAAGGAAGAUAAUGACGGUACUUGAGGAGGAAGCCCCGGCUAACUACGUGCCAGCAGCCGCGGUAAUACGUAGGGGGCUAGCGUUAUCCGGAUUUACUGGGCGUAAAGGGUGCGUAGGUGGUCUCUUAAGUCAGGAGUGAAAGGCUACGGCUUAACCGUAGUAAGCUCUUGAAACUGGGAGACUUGAGUGCAGGAGAGGAAAGUGGAAUUCCUAGUGUAGCGGUGAAAUGCGUAGAUAUUAGGAGGAACACCAGUAGCGAAGGCGGCUUUCUGGACUGUAACUGACACUGAGGCACGAAAGCGUGGGGAGCAAACAGGAUUAGAUACCCUGGUAGUCCACGCCGUAAACGAUGAGUACUAGGUGUCGGGGGUUACCCCCCUCGGUGCCGCAGCUAACGCAUUAAGUACUCCGCCUGGGGAGUACGCUCGCAAGAGUGAAACUCAAAGGAAUUGACGG
rnacentral:rRNA from 1 species